rnacentral:rRNA from 1 species
UACGAAGGGGGGCUAGCGUUGCUCGGAAUUACUGGGCGUAAAGCGCACGUAGGCGGUCUUUUUAAGUCGGGGGUGAAAUCCUGGAGCUCAACUCCAGAACUGCCUUCGAUACUGGAAGACUUGAGUCCGGGAGAGGGUGAGUGGAACUGCGAGUGUAGAGGUGAAAUUCGUAGAUAUUCGCAAGAACACCAGUGGCGAAGGCGGCUCACUGGCCCGGUACUGACGCUGAGGUGCGAAAGCGUGGGGGAGCAAACAGG